rnacentral:rRNA from 1 species
GCCCGCUCAGAAACUCAAGGAAUUGACGGGGCCCGCACAAGCGGUGGAGCAUGUGGUUUAAUUCGAUGAUACGCGAGGAACCUUACCUGGGCUCAAAUGUAUGUUGACGUAUUCUGAAAGGGAUACUUCUUCGGACAAUAUACAAGGUGCUGCAUGGUUGUCGUCAGCUCGUGCCGUGAGGUGUCGGGUUAAGUCCCAUAACGAGCGCAACCCCUAUCAUUAGUUGCCAUCAGGUCAAGCUGGGGACUCUAAUGAAACUGCCUACGCAAGUAGUGAGGAAGGUGGGGAUGACGUCAAAUCAGCACGGCCCUUACGUCCAGGGCUACACACGUGCUACAAUGGCCGGUACAAAGGGCAGCUACCUGGUGACAGGAUGCUAAUCCCAUAAAACCGAUCGUAGUCCGGAUCGCAGUCUGCAACUCGACUGCGUGAAGUCGGAAUCGCUAGUAAUCGUGAAUCAGAAUGUCACGGUGAAUACGUUCCCGGGCCUU